GAUGAACGCUGGCGGCGUGCCUAAUACAUGCAAGUCGAGCGAACGGACGAGAAGCUUGCUUCUCUGAUGUUAGCGGCGGACGGGUGAGUAACACGUGGAUAACCUACCUAUAAGACUGGGAUAACUUCGGGAAACCGGAGCUAAUACCGGAUAAUAUUUUGAACCGCAUGGUUCAAAAGUGAAAGACGGUCUUGCUGUCACUUAUAGAUGGAUCCGCGCUGCAUUAGCUAGUUGGUAAGGUAACGGCUUACCAAGGCAACGAUGCAUAGCCGACCUGAGAGGGUGAUCGGCCACACUGGAACUGAGACACGGUCCAGACUCCUACGGGAGGCAGCAGUAGGGAACCUUCCGCAAUGGGCGAAAGCCUGACGGAGCAACGCCGCGUGAGUGAUGAAGGUCUUCGGAUCGUAAAACUCUGUUAUUAGGGAAGAACAUAUGUGUAAGUAACUGUGCACAUCUUGACGGUACCUAAUCAGAAGGCCACGGCUAACUACG
rnacentral:rRNA from 1 species